rnacentral:misc_RNA from 1 species
UCUUGCACACCCAGCAGCAAAGUCAAUGAUUGAAUUGAGCCGCACACAAGAUGAAGAAGUAGGAGAUGGGACAACAUCUGUCAUUGUUCUUGCUGGAGAGAUGCUCCAUGUUGCUGAAGCCUUCAUUGACAAGAAUUAUCAUCCUACGGUCAUUUGUCGAGCCUACAAUAAAGCUUUGGAGGAUGCAAUUGCUGUGCUUGACAAAAUUGCUAUGUCUAUUGAUGUCAACGACCGUGCAGCCAUGUUAGGCCUGGUUAAGAGCUGUAUAGGCACAAAGUU